CGAAUGGCCGAGAAACACCUAAAGAAAUGUUCAACAUCUUUAGUCAUAAGGGAAAUGCAAAUCAAAACAACCCUGAGAUUUCACCUCACACCAGUGAGAAUGGCUAAGAUCAAAAACUCAGGUGACAGCAGAUGCUGGCGAGGAUGCAGAGAAAGAGGAACACUCCUCCAUUGUUGGUGGGAUUGCAGACUGGUACAACCAUUCUGGAAAUCAGUCUGGAGGUUCCUCAGAAAAUUGGACAUUGAACUACCUGAGGACCCAGCUAUACCUCUCUUGGGCAUAUACCCAAAAGAUGCUCCAAC
rnacentral:lncRNA from 1 species